AGUGAACGCUGGCGGUAGGCCUAACACAUGCAAGUCGAACGGCAGCACAGUAAGAGCUUGCUCUUACGGGUGGCGAGUGGCGGACGGGUGAGGAAUACAUCGGAAUCUACCUUUUCGUGGGGGAUAACGUAGGGAAACUUACGCUAAUACCGCAUACGGCCUACGGGUGAAAGCAGGGGAUCUUCGGACCUUGCGCGAUUGAAUGAGCCGAUGUCGGAUUAGCUAGUUGGCGGGGUAAAGGCCCACCAAGGCGACGAUCCGUAGCUGGUCUGAGAGGAUGAUCAGCCACACUGGAACUGAGACACGGUCCAGACUCCUACGGGAGGCAGCAGUGGGGAAUAUUGGACAAUGGGCGCAAGCCUGAUCCAGCCAUACCGCGUGGGUGAAGAAGGCCUUCGGGUUGUAAAGCCCUUUUGUUGGGAAAGAAAAGCAGCAGGUUAAUACCCCGCUGUUCUGACGGUACCCAAAGAAUAAGCACCGGCUAACUUCGUG
rnacentral:rRNA from 1 species